ACGUGUUGACAUUGUCGUGCUCGCUUGCGCGCGCGUUCACGUGCACGCUGAAAACGCGCGAGAAAACCUGUUUAACGUACAAAUAUUGAACCGCUACUAUGUUCCUCUCGCCUCGUAACAGUCGUUGGCAACGAGAAUAACGCGGGUCGCCGUGAAUAUUAAUCGCGAAAUCGGCUGGCUCUCAAUUCCAGCCUCGAGCCGUCCUUGUUCGAAUCACGGCGGAGCGACGCGGAAGCGGUGCGACAUUUUUGAAAAAUUUUCUGGUUCCUGAAGGAGGGAAAGAAGAGAGAAGGCUAAGUGGAUCGCCGGCACACGGAACCGCGGUGAAAUCUCGGCCGCGAUCGGUCGUUGAAAUUAAAUGCAAAUAGUCGACGCAGCGGUCGACGCCGCUGUAAAAUAUGUUCCAAAAGGACGCCCGGGGCUGCAGCAAUCUUCCUCCGACGAUAAGAUCGCCAUGCUAAAAAUAAAACGGUUCGUACACGAGGCCGUAUUGAGACCCGGCCGUGCUACGUAGGUACGAGUUGUUGCACGGUACCAAAAAUUUACGACGGCCUACGGUACAAGGAUUUUAUUAAGAUUGGCGCCCGGAGGAAUGCAAGCUUAACGGGUCGCGCUGGCCCAGCCUUCUCUUCUUCUUCUUCUUCUUCUUCUCCUUCUCCGUCUUCUUCCUCGGCCAGUAUCUCAACCCGUCUGCUCCCACCUGAACGCGCAACGUCGGACAAAAUGAUAAGGCUCCGUGGAAAUUAUUUCCAAAAGGAAUAGUCGCUGAAUCGUAGGUGCAAAUUGGCAUGCGUUCCGGUUACGGAGACAUCAAUGCCUGGCAACAGGUAUCGCUCACCAAAGAAAAGAAAGGAAAAUGGAGGACGUACUGGCGGAGAACGAGACCGGAUCGAAGAACCGUGAUCCUCGUGAUACCGAUACAGAAGAAUGAUCAAGAUAAAAAAAACUCCAUCCAAGGAUUUCCUGUCGGCACGUUAAAUAACAAUGCUGGGGCCUUCGGACGUCGCAGCAGAUGGACCGUGAAGAUGGACGAACUGUGCAGCGUCGAAGGCUGCCAGCAAGGUCGCAUGUCCCGCCACAUUUCUGAUGACAGUGGAACAAACGGAUCGAAACUAGCACUAGUUACAGCUUGUUCGACGCUUGUGCACGACCAUACUCGGUUUACCCGUAAAUAGCGGAUCGCUGAGACCGGCUGCAAUCCUUGCGAAACGCUUAGAUUUUUAUUCGUUUAUCAUCGACGAGUCGACCUCCUUUUUCUGGAAAUAAUCGGAUGUCGCAAUACUUGAAGUCCCUGCGAAACUUAGUGUGUUUUCGUUAUUAUACCGUGGCUUUUUUAGAUUGUAUGUGCAAGAGCGGAGCAAGGGAUGAUUUUUGCUGUCAAAUGAUGCUUGGAAGGAUCAUCAGCGUCGACCUGCCAAGAACUCUCAGGUGCAAGGAACAUCCGAUUUUGAGAAAAUUUGAACGUCGGUGCGAAUCGGCGCGUUGUUCGAGGGAGAGACGAGAGGAUCGGUGACAGAAAAAUCGGACAGUCUCGGGAACUUCCGCUAUUUAUGUUGUCGAUUUGCCGAGCGAACCUGAUCGCGGCUCUCGCGAUCGCUCGGACGUGGGCGUGAACUUUUCAAUAAAGCCGGUCUCUCUUCUCUCUCUCUUUUUCUCUCUCGCGGAUGCUUGGCUGAACGCGUGUAUCGGGAUCAAUGACACGCCCGCAGAUUCCCGAGAGGUAUCCUCUACGAGGUACGUAGAGGCAUCCUGUAGAAUUCCAACCACCUUCCUCGACUUCACAGCAGGACCUACUGGUUUCUAUUUAUACACCAAGCGAGACCUUGCAGCUUACGGCUCGCACGCUUACGGACUCGGUUCCGGACCGGUUCAAAGCGUUGUCGGGACCUCUCAGGCCUCUCCAAAGGAUCCAUAGUUCGCUCAAAAUUCAUAUUUCAGUCGACCGUGCUAUGCAAUUCCCGUCGGCUUCUUUUGGAAAACGAUAGCUUUAUUUUCUGAUUCUGGAAGUAUUUUUCUGUCUUAUUUUAAUGUACAAAAAUGAUUUUGCAUAAUUUUUGCAUUAAAAACUUGGCUUGUAAGAGAUCUCGAGACGAAAAAUUAGCAAAAUACUGUCUAUAAUUUGAUAGUGAAGUUCUUACGAUCAAUACAAAUGUUUUCCUACUAAA